GUUUAUUGAGCCAAUGGAUUCUAAGUCUUCUAACUCAGAGAGAAUUGAUUGAUGGUGAGUUAGUCGGGUUUCGAAGGAAAGUCCCAGUGGCGUUGCCAGGACCCCGGAUCAGGGGUACAAAAUUUUUUAUAAAAAUUCUCCAUAUUCUCCUACAACAGCAAAAUAACAGAAUAAAAUUAGAAAGCAAAAUCAGUCUUGUAAAGCAAACAGAAUGGUAUGUAUAGCAACCUAUCAAGAGCUUCCAUAUAAUUCACAAGUAUUUUGAAUAUAGCAAGCUUUCGUGAUCAAAAUUAAUCCUCCUUAUCAUCUAUU
rnacentral:lncRNA from 1 species